GUACACUCCUACGGGAGGCAGCAGUGGGGAAUUUUGGACAAUGGGCGAAAGCCUGAUCCAGCAAUGCCGCGUGCAGGAUGAAGGCCUUCGGGUUGUAAACUGCUUUUGUACGGAACGAAAAAGCUCCUUCUAAUACAGGGGGCCCAUGACGGUACCGUAAGAAUAAGCACCGGCUAACUACGUGCCAGCAGCCGCGGUAAUACGUAGGGUGCGAGCGUUAAUCGGAAUUACUGGGCGUAAAGCGUGCGCAGGCGGUUAUGUAAGACAGAUGUGAAAUCCCCGGGCUCAACCUGGGAACUGCAUUUGUGACUGCAUGGCUAGAGUACGGUAGAGGGGGAUGGAAUUCCGCGUGUAGCAGUGAAAUGCGUAGAUAUGCGGAGGAACACCGAUGGCGAAGGCAAUCCCCUGGACCUGUACUGACGCUCAUGCACGAAAGCGUGGGGAGCAAACAGGAUUAGAUACCCUUGUAGUCCCA
rnacentral:rRNA from 1 species